CAUGUCUUUUUGAUUAUAAUUUAAAGUCUAGCCUGCCCUAUGAAUUUUUAAAUGGCCGCGGUACUUUGACCGUGCAAAGGUAGCAUAAUAAUUAGUUUCUUAAUUAGGAACUGGAAUGAAUGGUUGGACGAGAAAAAUACUGUCUCAAUUUAAUUUAAAUUAGAAUUUUAUUUUUAAGUAAAAAAGCUUAAAUAAUUUUAAAAGACGAGAAGACCCUAUAGAGUUUUAUAUAAUUUUUUUUUAUUUAAAAUUUUAAGUAUUAUAAAUUUAAUUAUUAGAUUUUAUAUUUAAUUGGGGCGAUUGAAAAAUUUAAUUAACUUUUUUUUUAUUUAAACAUUAAUUUAUGAGUUUUUGAUCCAUAAUUUAUGAUUAUAAGAUUAAAUUACCUUAGGGAUAACAGCGUAAUUUUUUUUGAGAGUUCUUAUCGAAAAAAAAGUUUGCGACC
rnacentral:rRNA from 1 species